AACGAACGCUGGCGGCAGGCUUAACACAUGCAAGUCGAGCGCCCGCAAGGGAGCGGCAGACGGGUGAGUAACGCGUGGGAAUCUACCUAGUUCUACGGAACAACACAGGGAAACUUGUGCUAAUACCGUAUACGCCCUACGGGGGGAAGAUUUACCGGAAUUAGAUGAGCCCGCGUUGGAUUAGCUAGUUGGUGGGGUAAUGGCCUACCAAGGCGACGAUCCAUAGCUGGUCUGAGAGGAUGGUCAGCCACAUUGGGACUGAGACACGGCCCAAACUCCUACGGGAGGCAGCAGUGGGGAAUAUUGGACAAUGGGCGCAAGCCUGAUCCAGCCAUGCCGCGUGAGUGAUGAAGGCCUUAGGGUUGUAAAGCUCUUUCACCGAUGAAGAUAAUGACGGUAGUCGGAGAAGAAGCCCCGGCUAACUUCGUGCCAGCCGCCGCAGUAA
rnacentral:rRNA from 1 species